ACAAGUCAAAGUACUUUUCCAAAAAUAAGACACUGAUAGAAGUGCAGCCUAGGAUAGAGAGAGAAAAGCUCAGAACUUUUGAGGAGAGAAAGAAGGAAACCGAGCUUUCCUUGUACACAUCUUGAGGACCACAAAUUAGGCUCCAUCUUGAUUUAGGCACUGGAGUAAACGAGGAGGAGGAUUCCAUAGCCAUAAGGGUGGAAGAGAACCAGAACCAGCUAACUGAGCAAGAGUAUGGGCAGAAGCGUUGCCCUCUCUCGGAGUCCAUAUGAAGCUCCAUUCAGGAAAAGCACUUUUCUAGGAGAUCCAAGUUCUGGGCAACAAUCACUGCCUCUCUAAGGAUUAGAGCUUCUGCCACAAGGGGGAAUUAGCAUACAAUUUCCUUGCAGAUCCACACGUUACCGAGCCCUGAUGGUCUCUGAAGAUGAACCCACCUGCUGCUUUGUGAUUGUGCGGGGAGAAAGCUGCAUCAGAGUUAGCUUUAACGAAGUCAGGUGAGGGUUUGAUCCAACGGCGUGUUUCUCUAACUUGUGGAAUUUCUCUUGGUGUCUGGGGAGUCUGCUGAAUGACUGGGCUUAUCUCAGAAUGAAGAUUGGCUGUUUGAAGAAGACAAGUGUUUGGGGUAUUGAUAGCUCUGAAGGUGUCCUCUAGCCAGGUUGCAAAUAUGAGAAGAUUAGUACCAUCUGUUGAGAGAGAAAGGGGAAAAUCGAACCAAACUAGUCUAGUCCACUCACAUAGGAGUAAGGCAUGAUUAAUGUCCUCAGAGCCUUGGCCACAGAUGGAGCAAAGGAAUUUGGUAGGGUGAUUGGAGCUAAUGGCUGUUGAAAGAUUUGCAUCAGCUGCUUCCUUAGCUGUUCUGUAUCCAGAUUUAACCGUGUAAUCUUCUGAAGGUACAUAAGGCCAGUAGAGUGUAUCUUUUGCAUCUGAAAAGCUGAAAGGGGUUUGGAGUAUCUUCCCCACAUCCGUAGAAGGGAGCAAUUGCAUUAUAGUGUUCACUUUCCAUUUCAGUUCAUCAUUGUCUAGCAAGCCAUUUACCUUAAGAUGCGUUGGGCCAUCCUGUAGCCUUUCACAAGAAGAGAGCCACCUGUGAGUCAUGAUAUCCACUUGACUCCCAUUCCCAAUAUUCCAUCUACCAUGUUCAAGAAGAAGGUCUCUCCCAUAAAGAAGACUGGACCAGGACAACGAGGAAUUUCUCCUUUUCUUUGCUGCAAGCAACUCUUCAUUGGGAAAAUAUAUACCCUUUAUCACUUUGACCCACAAGGCAUCCGAUGAUUGCACAGCUUUCCAUGCUUGUUUAGCUAAUAAAGCCUGGUUCAUAAGUUCAAAGUCCUUAAAACCCAUUCCUCCCUUGUCUUUGCUCUGAGUUAGAAAGUGCCAAUUCUUUCAGUGGAUGCCCCUUUCUUUCUGCCCCUUCCACCAAAAUUGGGCAACUUUUGAACAUAUUUGUUUGCAGAAGUUUUUGGGGAACCGAAGAAUAGCCAUGGCGUAUCUGGGAAUUGCUUGUAAUACGGCUUUGAUCAAAAUCUCCUUGCCAGCUUGAUUUAAAAGAACACCCUUCCAACCCUUGAUUUUACUAAGAAUUCUAUCUUUAAUCCACUGAAGUGAGUGAGAUUUUGAUCGUCCCCAUUCGGCUGGCAUUCCAAGAUAGAGUCCAGGGUUGGACCAAACUUGUAACCCCAAAAUGCUGGCAAGAGUGCUCUUCUUGUCAUUAGCCAGAGAUCUACCACCUAUAAGACCUGAUUUGUGGAGAUUCACUCUUUGACCUGAGGCUUUUGAGAAAAUAUUCAAGAUACGCUUAAGCUCAUACAUCUCAUGAUUCUCAGCCUUGGUAAAGAGUAUAGGAUCGUCUGCAAAGAGAAGAUGAGUAAGAGCAGGUGAAGUAGGGGCCAAUCGGAGGCCUUGGAGAUUUCCCAUGUUAAAGCUGUUUUGAAUAAGAAGAGAAAGGACUUCCAUAGUGAAGAGGAAGAGAUAAGGGGAAAAGGGGUCCCCUUGUCUCAACCCUCUUUGAGGAAGAAGCUUAGGUCCCACCACACCAUUGAUCUUGUAAUUAUAAGAGACCCCUGAGACCAAAAUCAUGAUCAUUUUAACCCAAUUGGUGCUGAAACCGAAAGCUAGCAAAGAGCUUUCUAAGAAUUUCCAUUCAACUCGAUCAUAAGCUUUGUUCAUGUCAAGCUUUAUGAUUGAGUGAUUUCUGCCAAGUGCACCCGGUCUGUUUAUAGCAUGGAAAGCUUCCUGCACAAUCAGUAAAUUAUCUUGAAUCUGUCUUCCUUGAAUAAAGCCACUUUGCAUAGGAGAGAUGAGAUCUGGCAUGGCAUCCUUAAGUCUAGCUACAAAGAUUUUUGAGAUAACUUUAUAGAGGAAGGUGCAACAACUGAUGGGCCUAAACUGAUUGAUGGAUUCUGGGUGGGGGACUUUUGGAAUAAGUGUCACAAGAGUCUCAUUAAUUUCAUUGGGAAUCUCAGCUCUUUCAAAAAAAGCCAAGAUCGCCUAAGUUACACUAUCCUUAACCACAUCCCAAUUUUUCUGGUAGAACAGACCAUUCAUCCCAUCAAUGCCCGGGGCUUUGAGGUCUCCAAGAGAAAAAACAACAGCCUUAAUUUCUUCUGAAGUUACCUGAGAUUCAAGCUUUUGAUUCAGAUCUUGAGAGACUAAGGAAGGAACAACAUUUAGGCACUCUUGCAAGAAUUGGGGUGGUGUGGAGGUAUACAACUCAUGGAAAAAAUCAAAAGCAGCGAUGUUUAUGUUAUGCUGCCUUUCCACCCAGGUGAUCAUUUUGGAGCUCUAGGGCCCUUUUCUUUAACAACUCAAUUUCACGGUCAGCUCUCUUAAAUUUACCUUGGCUCCAAGAGGUUAAAGAGAGUUUGCAGUUCUGAGUUCUGUCAAUGGGAUAAGGAAGAUGAAAUAACAGCAACCAGGUUGUCCUCAACCACGGUUUCCAGAGCUAGGGGCUUGAGUUUCCAAGGUAUUCUCCAAAGAGGGAGGUAAAUGUGACAAGUCCUCAAUAUCUUUUUGCACAUUGGAUUUGGGCUCUUCAGAGUAACCACUGGGCAAUCCAAGAGGGAGUUAUCAGUUCUUUCCCCGAGGUGCUCAAGGGGGGAUGUGAGAGAAAUUAUGGCUUGUGGAGGAUAAUUAAAGCACUGCUCAGAAUGAGGGAAUUUUGACACCAAAUUGGUGACAGGACCAGAAAAGAAGCCAUAGGUAGCUUGGUACCAGAGUAUCCCCCCAUGCUGUUUAUCUCAUCUUCUCUUUCCUUCAAGUCUUGUUCAGACACCCGGAUAGUAGUUCUCAGAGGGCCCGAAACAUGCGGGGCAAGCAAGGUAUUCUGUUGGGCCACUUGACACUCUGUGAUACUAGAAUUGCAUUGAUUUGGACUAGUGGCCUGAUCAUCCCUACAGGACACAGUGUUGAUAACCUGUGAUAGAUUGUGACUUUGAUGUACUACAGUGGAUAGCUAGGGCUCCACAGUCACUGUAGUGUUAUCUGCGGGAGUAGCAGAGAGAUUGCUCUGCCUUCGUAGGUGCCCUGUAGUUGUUAUGAGUAACCGAGGGAUCCAUAUGGGCUGAGUUUUUAGACUGCAUUGGGGUCCUUGAUUGAAAAGCCCUGGAGGCUAUUAUUGAAUCCAGAGAUCUUGCUGUAGCUACCCAUAGACUUGGACCAUAUCUUGGGAUUUUUGGAUUGUUGAUUGCCAUAGUCUUGAGGGAAUUGCAGAACUUUUGCUCAUGACCAAUUUUUCCACAUUUGAAAUAGAACCCUUGAAGCUUUUCAUAGCGGAGAGAAACCCAGACUUUCGGCAAGCUCUUCCUUGGGAUCCAGAAACCGGUGGGUAUAGGCUUAUCUGUGUUGAGCCAUACCUUAGCUCUAAAGAAAUGGCGAAGCAUGUUACCUUCAACACAAGGAUUUUCAACUUCAAUAAGUUCUCCAAUAAAGGUAGUUAUUUUUGCAAUAUUAUCUAUUGACAUUGCAUCAAGUAGUAAGCCAUGAAUUUGUACCCAGAAAGCUACCAAGUUAUAUUUGACCUCAUGAACAGCCAUUUGGGGGUCCCAUUUUUGAAGACUAAGAAUAUUUCCCAUAACACUCCAUGGCCCCUCAUCAUAUACUCUUUGUGCCGUAGUAUCAGAAUCAAAAGUAAAGAGCAAGCAAUUAAUGCCCAUGUCAGCCAUAUGUAGGUCAUUAAGAUUCCCCCAAGCUUUUUGUAGAAUAGAUCUCAUAGCAUUUUUGUUAAUAGAUUUAUCGGAUAGUAAUUUACCAAUAAGCAUGCGUUUGGCUAAAGCUAUACCUACAAGUUCAUCAGUUUGUAGAUCUAGGGUUAUACCCUCUAGAGAGAAAGAUUCCUCAUUCAUCAUUGCUGGUGAAUUAGCAGAGGACUCAGCUUGAUUUGACGUAUGAGGUGUGGUUGACAAGGAAGGAUGCGACGGGGAAUCUAUCCUCACCGGGGUCCUCAGUGUCAGAUCUGGAGUUGUUGGAGACGUCAUAAGGUGCCAGAGAAAGAGGAGACAAAAAGCUUAAUAAUCGAGGAGAAGAAACGUGGGUGGGCACAACACAAAACCCACAGCCACUGUUUCCACAAAAAAAGCACACAGAAAUAAAUGAAAAGGCUACAGCCAAAGCUGUCCCUUUUACACUACUCUCCAGGAAAAAUGAGAGAAAAACUCCAGAAGAUUUGGAGAAAUAACUCUUCUUAGGGUAGACUCAAAGGGGAAUUGACUGGUCAUAGACCCAAAACCAAAAACCCUAGCAGAGCGGAGUAUACUCUAAAAGAGAAAUUGACCAAAGAGAGUAAGUGUUAUUUUCUACAUUUAUAUUUUUUGUCAACGUGCAUGAAAAGCUGUAUAGAUAAAAGCCCAAAGCAUGUUGGGCCAAAGAACAUGAAGAGACAAACUUGUAGGAAAAAUGAUCAAGACCGAGGAUUGCAGAGUGAGAUGGGCUCCAUGGGGCUAAAGGUGCUCCAGAUUCCAGAUUGCAUCAACUCUUAUCUGCAUUGACAAAAAAAAAAACUCUUAUCUGCAAGAUAUCUUAAUCAGCAUUUAUAUGUACACCAUUCCACAUCUGUAAUUUGCGACAAUAUUUUACCAGCACUAUUAUAGGGUUUAUUUUCAAUAGACUUUACAAUUUUUUAUGGUAAAAAACCGUCACAAACUGUCUAUAUUGAGUGACUCAUUGUCAAUGUAUUUUAUUAUUCAUA